UAGGGGAGACCUAUUUACUUCUAGACUGAAACAAUACAGUAUUAAGUCAGGAGUAAGUCAUCCCAAGGUCGUUCGAGAUUUAUUGGAAAGCUUUCAAACUAAGUCAGGUUCUGAAUCAAGCUAUAGCGAAAGCUAAUUAACAAAAGGGCCAUUAGCUCAGUUGGUUAGAGCGCACCCCUGAUAAGGGUGAGGUCUCUGGUUCGUGUCCAGAAUGGCCCACUUGAGAAAUCAUUAGCAUCAAAGCUAAGGACAACUCUGGGGAUAUAGCUCAGUUGGUAGAGCGCCUGCUUUGCACGCAGGAAGUCAGGAGUUCGAAUCUCCUUAUCUCCACCAAACUACUAAAAACGAUAAAAGCAAGAGUUUAGCAACUCAUCUAGUCAAGCUUAAGAAGCAAACAACUAGAGAGACUGCUAAAUUCUAGCGAAAGCAAGAAUUUAGAAAGAACCUUGAAAACUGCAUAGUAAUAGUAAUAAGAAGCAAGUAGAUCCAAAGUGGAAACACAGAGGUC
rnacentral:tRNA from 1 species